ACGGCUGAGAACAGCACUUCAGAACCACCCUCCGAUCCACACAGCCCCACUGGGGGGGAAGGUGGGCAAGGCCAAGACCCUCCACGCCGAGUUCAAGCAAUUCCUCUGCCUGGUGGGCUGCCCACGCAGCCACUUUCUCUCCGGGUUUGGGUGGCAGAGGAGAGAUCCAAGCCAGGGGCUGCCAGGGUGUGUGAAUGACGGACGAGAAAGUGAGAAUAAGCAGUCAGCACCGGGGGUGAUGACUUCACGUGAGCAGUACCGGGCAGGCAGCAGGGCAGGAAGAGAUUGGCAGGAAGAGGCUGGGGAGAGCAUUUGGACCACAGAGGAUCAAAGCCAGAAGACCCCAAAGGACGACCAGGUGAGUCCUACCCUCUUUGUGAGGUGAGGACGCAAAGGCCCAGGAAAGUCAGACACCGCUCCUCCCUGGAGGCCCUACUCUGGACUCUUCCAGAAGGCAAUGUGGAAACCGCCUCCUGAGAACACAGAAGUCGUCUCCUGCAACAAUCCUGCUCUCUUCAUUUGUCAAAUCUCAGGUUGGACAUGUUUUAAGUACAUGGGCCUUCCCGUCCCGACCAGAGGCCAGGAGCCAUGCCCAUGCCUGACAGUAGGGAGUGGUCCAGGAAUGGAUUUUAAUCCUCCCAACUGUGGGGUAGGAAUGAUCCUCCCCAUUUAGAGAUGAGAAAAUCAAGGUUCAGAGAAGUGACAAACCAAGCUCAAGGAAGGGAGGGAUGAUGGCAGGAUCUGAAGCAGCCAUUUCUGCCCGCCUUUGUGGCUGUGAGAGCCCUGCUCCAUGGGCCCAACCAGGGCUGCCAGGGCCCCAGAGCCCCCUACCUG